rnacentral:lncRNA from 1 species
UAGUAGAGACGGGGUUUCACUGUGUUAGCCAGGACGGUCUCGAUUUCCUGACCUCGUGAUCCGCCCGCCUCGGCCUCCCAAAGUGCUGGGAUUACAGGCGUGAGCCACCGCGCCUGGCCUAUUAAAUCCUCUUUAAGGUGGAAUAUAAUUGACAAGCCGACAUCAGUCUCCAGAGUGAAUCCAAGGAGUGGACCCAAGACAUUUGUGUUCUGUGAUGUGGUGGCAUGUUACCUGUCAUCUCCGAUGCAUAACUCCUAAAGUGCGUCUGGGGCAGUUGUACAGAUUGCAGAGGAUAAUACUCAAGAUGUUCUCCAAGGCCAACUAGUCAUCAGUUUAUUCAUAGCUCCCAAGAUGGUGGUGGGCCACUUCCAAGAUGGUGGCAAGAGUCGUAUUCUCUGACCUGGGGUUCUUGGUCUCAUGGAUUCCAAGGAAUGGAAUCUUGCGCCAUGUGGAGAAGCGUCAGAUAAUUAGGCAGCAGUCCAACAAUUAGGUUUUGUGGAACUUUUACUAUGUCAUCUAUUUAUUGGAAUUCCCCCUGGAUACCAGGACCCCCUCCAGCAGAGCUUAAAGUUAUAGUUACAGGAAGUACAAAUUCCUUAUGUGGAUCCCUGGAAGUGUGAUGAGAAGAACCACUGUUUCCAAGAUCUAUUUAUUCUAUUUAUCAGGCCUAUAAAAUCAUGUAAUGGCCAUGGCUUCAACUAGACUCCACAUCUUGAAUCACAGAACUCAACGAAUGGCAUCAACUACAAGCUGGUAUUCUGCUAUACAUUUAAGAGGCCAUUUUAAUAUUCUAUUAGUCUAGCAGCUUCUAAGUGAUGAGGGAUAUGGGGGGACUGGAGGAUCCCGUGCUCACUUCCUUUUCUGUAAAAGGAGCUCUUUGAUCCAAGGUGACAUGGUAUGGGAUCCAAUGACAAUAAAUCAGUUAUUCUGUGAACCCUGAUCAAAA